UACGAAGGGGGCUAGCGUUGCUCGGAAUGACUGGGCGUAAAGGGCGCGUAGGCGGUUUGUACAGUCAGGUGUGAAAUUCCCGGGCUCAACCUGGGGGCUGCACUUGAUACGUAGGAACUGGAGUGGGGAAGAGGGUCGUGGAAUUCCCAGUGUAGAGGUGAAAUUCGUAGAUAUUGGGAGGAACUCCGGCGGCGAAAGCGGUGCACUGGUGGAUUACUGACGCUGAGGUGCGAAAGCCAGGGGAGCAAACGGG
rnacentral:rRNA from 1 species